UACAGAGGGUGCAAGCGUUAAUCGGAGUUACUGGGCGUAAAGGGCGCGUAGGUGGUUGAUUAAGUUGGAUGUGAAAUCCCUGGGCUUAACCUAGGAACUGCAUCCAAUACUGGUUGACUAGAGUAUUGUAGAGGGUAGUGGAAUUUCCGGUGUAGCGGUGAAAUGCGUAGAGAUCGGAAGGAACACCAGUGGCGAAGGCGGCUACCUGGACAAAUACUGACACUGAGGCGCGAGAGCGUGGGGAGCAAACAGG
rnacentral:rRNA from 1 species